AGCGAGCCCUAUUUAACGGCCAUCCAGUCUCCGUCGUUGCUACGAUCCUUUCCCUCUGACGUUACUUUUGCGGCUCGAACUCUUCUUUUUCUUUCUCCAUCCGUCGUUUUUGAUCUAACUCCCACUUCUCCGAUCGAAAUGUGGUUCUCUCGAUGACGAGAAACGAAGCAGACGGGCGGUCAGAACCUGAUGCCGUGUUGAAUGUCUGCAGCACUCAUCGACUUUCCUUGGAAAGCAUCCGAGAGAGAUUCCACUGAUCAUCGGUCUAAUAUCUAACGUUACGUACAUAUUUUGGUAGUUUGUGGUAUUAGUUUUGGUUUGAAACAUGAAUCUGAUCCGCUACGAUGAAGAUGCUGAAUACUUAUGUCUGGACAAACGAGAUCCUUUUCUGUGUCGAUGACUUGAUUUGCUUUUUCUGAGCAGCAUCAGAUCAAUUGUUUUUUGUUUUUGAUGGUCAAGUAAUUGCAUCAGUUACCCUCCUCUUAGAUGUUCAUUUGUGUGUUCUUUUGGAUCUAAGGGGAUAUAACGGGUGCAGAAAUCUAAAUGGUUGGCUUACCAGCCCAUGGCAUUUGAUUUGGUUGCUCUGGCGUCAAAUGGUCCGAUCGAAAUGCUUGUCAAAUAUCAAGAUGUUUCUUUUUUUCUGGAUUUUUUUUUCAAUCAAAAGGGUGGCAGAUGAUGUGAUCUUGAAAUCUUAUCCUACACACUGAAUCAUGGUGUGGACCAAUAACUCCGCUUAUUAUCUGAUGCCCCUUUUGCCGAUUGUUCUAUAUCUCAAUUUCUGAGUUUGUUGUUAAUAAAGUAGUGAUUUGAUGCUAUUAUGUAUAUCGUGGCCUACAUUUAUGUACUAGAACAGUCUUUGUGUUUAUUCUAGGGCUUUUCUGGCUGCUUAUCUUAGCAUUAUCUUGUAACUAUGUACGUGUAUAAUUGUUACUGAUUUUAUGGUGAUUUAUCUGUAGUUGUAAAUCUUCAGUGUUGUUGUGCUCGAUAACCCCAAAUCAAUCUUUUUUUUCAGCUAACUUGCAUUAUUAAAAAGAAACAGUUUUGUAGACUAGCCAUCAAUGGACUUUUAUGCAUAGGAGAAUCAUUUAGGACUUCUUCUAUUCGCAAACCUCCAUUAACAAUGGCGUUUUGAUUUCUUCUAUGAGGUGAUGUUUUUAGAAACAACCUUCAUCUUUGCCAAACGUAGGCUAGUCUUGGGAAGGUAAUAUGUUUCGCAAGUGGGAGGCAAAUGAUGUGAUUUCAAAUCUUAUCCUACACACUGAAAACACUGUGUGGACAGAUAACUCCGCUUAUUAUCUGAUGCCUCUUAACUUGUUUCAGUAUCGUUUGGUAUCUCUAUUGUUUUCUAGUCAAUUAGUUAUACUGGCAACUUUAUUUACUCAAAUUGGUUUGAGAUGACGAACGUAAAAAGUUUUAUUAUGUUCAUUGUGUAUGAUUAGAUAUAUGAACUAGGGGUCACGAUUGGUCUUACACCUCGCAGGUUCUUAUAUGUAAGCUCGUUCAUUGUUAACAUUCCGAGGUUUUGGUAAUCAUUUUGUUUCCAAACAUCAGCACUACAAGAAAUAUUCUUGUUUCCAAGUCUUAAUACCUGUUGUUUUUGUAAUGAGGUGAAUGGAACUGAUUGGCUGUUGCUGUCCUGAACUGAUGCAUCUCUUUUGUCCUGAACUGAUUAGAGUUAGGUUGCUACUGGGAAGUCCAUGCAUGACUUUUCAAAGAAGCAUUGAACCGUGGCGAGUGGUCAUCCAAAUUGUAUUUAUCAGGUAUUCAGCAUGGGAAUACUGCUUCUAAUACUAACUUUUUCUGGCAUUUAUUCAUUUGGGUUGCAUGUCCAUGUUUUGCAAUCACGAACAUCUGUCUUUAUGCAAUGCAAUCUCCUUUUCAUCCUAUUAGUUGAUAAGCAGAUACUGGUAAGUACUAACAUCAGUUGAUAUGGAUAUCAUAUUGUGCUACUAUGGCCAGGAGCAUCUGCAAAAGCUUGUAGAUGAUCAAUUGCAGCAACUCCUUUCUGGAUUAUCAUUCUGCACUUCACAUAUAACUGUUAAUUCUACUGUCGUUUCUAGAAUUAUUUUUUUCAUGUGUAAAUUAAACAAGUGAGCCUAUGCCACAAGUCUCUUUUCAGUGUUGUCCACUCAAAACACCUGUGUAUUGUGGUGGUGGUAGCAUUUGGCAUGGUUGAAAGUGAUACUGUAUGCCAUGUUAGGAAUAUGCAAUGCUGUUGUGUUUGAGGAAUUUUUAACAUGCCUUUUUCGAAGGCUCAUCAGAGAUGUCUGGCGUUAUUGUGGUUAAAGCAAUGGCAAGUGCCGUCUGGAAACGUUAAUGUGUACUAAUGCUGUGUUUGUGGGCUCCUCGGCAUUCCCGUUUAUGCUCUUUCGUGAUCGUUAUUGAACACCAAGUGUUUGAUAACGAUAAUAAUGUACAAUGUUUUCAUUAAUGUUUCAUCUGACAUUAUAUUUUCGUUAACAUGAUGAUGACGACGAUGUAAAUUCAUAUUUUCUUGAUUUUUGAGACGUACGAACACGUUCGAAAUAAGGUGUUUGGGCAGCAUAAGUUUGGGUUAUUAUGAUUUUGAUCAUGGAUAUUUUAAACUUUUAUAAUUUAUAAAUUUUUGGUUUAGUUUGACUUAACUGACUUGGUAUAUGCAAUUUAAAUUUAAGAAAAGGUUAAGGUUUAAUUUAGUCAUUUUUAUUUUGGUCAUGAAUCUUUUAAAUAUUUAUGAUUUAUUCAUGUCAAAUAAUUAAUAUAUUUUUAAAAACGUAAUAUGUAAGUAUAUGAGUCAUAUAUAUAUAUUUACUAACGAUGAGCUAAAGAGUUUUCGAUCAUAUUUCAGGUUAUUGUUCGACCCUAUAGCCUUAGCCACUUCCUCUUCCUUGACAAGUUGAUUGGGGAGAGCGAGCAGAUAUAAAAAAGUUACAUGAACCAGCUCAACUUCUCCUUUUGCUUGAUCUCCAUCUUCGUGAUACUGUGUUUCACGGGGUAGGUGGCUUACAAGAUAUGGUGGUACUCGUUAGGGUCGGAGCGGGUGUCAUUUGCCAUGCGGAGUGACAUGGUGGCGAGCGCCCUAAAGCUAGCGAGUUUGAUUUACCAUAUGUCACUCAUCAGUUCCAGGGCGCAUGCCACAACGUCGCCCACUACGACGUUGGUUGCCAUCGCAAACGACACUCGCUUCAAUCCUAACGAGUACCUCUCCCACCAUCACAUCAUAGGCACAGCAGGUGAGGGCGCAAGAGAGGACGAAGUGGAAGGUAGUAUGGACAAAGACGCCUAGGAGGAGAAAGAUGGCCAAAGAGACCAUUACAUGCCUAGCGUCGAACUGAUUAACGCACAUCCACUUGAGGCAGAAUCGGAAGCUCUUGAGCUCGUCAUCAGCGCGAAAGAUGCUAUGUGCAUAUGAUGCCCUACUACACGGUAGCAGUUCGGUGCUACUACCGAUGGUCGCUUCCACGAUAACGCAUCCUCCCACUAUUGAUAGUAGUGUUACUUGAGAGGAGGAGUGUAUAUGCUAUGUUUUUUAUAAUGUAUGAACUCUAUUAUACACGAGUAAACCAUAAAGAUUUAAAAGAUCUAAGACAAAAAUCACAUGGGCUAAAAUGAAUUUAAACUUAAAUUACACGUGUCAUUAUAUUAAUUAUUUAUUAUGAGUCAGUAUGUCACAUAAGGGGCUAAAAUUGAUCUUUAAGUUUUUUGUUUAGGAAUGGGGGGUUUGUUGAUAAUAUACGAUAUGUGUUGUUUCAAGAUGUCGAGGAUGGUCAUAGAGUAGGUUAAUUAUCGAUUAUAAUUAAAUCUUCUUAACAUCUCGAUCUCUAGAUUUAAGAAAUUUACAAUGGAAUCCUGUAAAAGUAAAAUAUUUAACUCUAUUUAUCUUAACAUUAUUGGUUUUACCGAAAAAAACAUGAAAAUAAUGGAUAAAAAUCUUAACAUUAUUGGUUUUAUAAAAAAAAAACAUGAAAAUAAUGGAUAAAAAGAUCCUUUAACUUUAUGACAGAUUAUUAUGGAUGAGGAGGAAGAGCGAAGGUGAGGGCAAUCCCGCCCAACAGUCACCCGUACUUCAUUCAUUAUCCACUCACCCGUACUUCAUUCAUUAUCCACCCAUUAGAACAUUAAAAUUAUUUUUUUACUCAUUAUUUUUAUACUUUCAUUAUUAAAACCAAACGAUAUUAAAACAUCCUUGAAAUUUUGAUUCCUAAGUUUAAAAUAAUUUAUAUUGGAAUCCUAGUAAAAUAUCUAACUCAAUUUAAGGAUAACUCGAUUUAAGGAUGUCUAACAACCAAAAAUAAUUGUAAUUAGCAAACAAUGAUUGGUGUAGAAAAGAAUUGAUCUCGGUGCCUUACCUUACCCCCUUAUGGGUAACAUUCACCUUUGUAAUAGCGACUAUACAAGAGGAUAAGAAACACCAGCAACUAUUUUGGAAGUUCAGACUGAAUAAACCUGGAAAGAGCACCCUCUAGUAAUUGUUUCAAUUGAAUCAAGCAUGAGAUGCAACAUUCCUUGCAUCACAAGCAUUUUCCAUUUCAAAUCAACAAUCAGUCGAUGCAAAUUCCAAAUAAGCUAGCAGGCUUUCAAUAGAACACAAAAUUUCGGUGUUCUUGAGAACUGAAUUCAGUUAUCAAACUACACCUACAUGGAUUAAUACAAUGGACAAACAAAUUGGUGAUGGCAGAACACCAAAAUCUUCUGAAAAUUGUGAUCAUCUUUUGAAAAGUCAUGUUGUUCACCUUAUGGCUCCAUUUGCAAUGGAUAAUACUUUGCAAACACCAGCAGAUGUCGUGAAGGGAACAUCCUUGUAGCACGCUACCAACUCUGAAUUGGACUGCAGAUCAACCUGCACCUUCUCCCAAACUUUGCUCUUGGCACUUAAGAUGCCAUCAGGCUCCCCCGAGUAUCCAGGAAAGGUUACUCGCUCGCCCACUGCAGCUGAUGAAGGUGGGUCAACCAACUCCACCUGGUAUUAAACACAUUAGUUAUUAUCAAGAAACUGCUGUAACACUGAUAUGAGAAAUUAAACACCUUAGUUAAUCAUACACAUGUAGUCUUGAAGGGCUUAAAACUGCGUUUAACUUAAGAUAGACCAAAACAAAAGGAGGAAGCACUGUGGCUUACCUUUGUGUGGUCAUCAUUUGAUGCAGCCAAGACCAUUGCAUGUGAUUUGAUGCCUCGCAUGGUGACUGGCUUUAGGUUGCACAGAACACAUACUUUCCGAUUCUGCAGGAGUAUUGUAGUAGAAUAAAUAGAGAUUCAUAUCCAAUGGGAACAGAAAAAGGUAGAGAGUAACAAACCUGCAUUUCUUCAAGAGGAAUAUAUUUCACAAGACCACUAACAACAGUUCUUGGUGAUUCUUCACCUACAUCGAUUUCUUCUACAUAAAGUGAAUCAGCAUCUGGAUGCUUCUGAACCUUCUUUAUGAGGCCAACACGUACAUCAAGUUUCGAAACCGAAAUCUCUGUUUCAGCAGUUUUUGCUUUUGUAUUGCCAGAAGGCUUAUUUUGUUGUUUCUUUGCAUUACCUAUUGGCACAAAUGACAUGCAAAACUUAACAUGCUAUUGUCAAAGAAAAAUAUACAACCAAAGGCCGACAUGAGCUCGUGAGGAACAGUUUCAUUUGAACUUUAACUGUCCUGAAACAUGCACCACGCGUAAAUCAUACACAUUAACAAUCUGGAAAAGACCAUCUGCGCAAAAUGUGCAAACUUAUGAUUAAUAAGAAUGCUUUGGGUGUGGAUGCUUAUGAGAGCACUUGAGAACAAUGCCUCUGGAUCUGAACAUGUAAUCUCAAUUUAGUUUUUGACUAAAAUUUUAAAUUGAAUAAAACCUAUUCUCAUCAGCUCAGUAAAAGCCAAAACUUUGCACAGCUCCAAGACCACUAGUGGAGUUUUGCUACAUAGAGUUGUUCUUACUGCUGAUGACUGUUGAUGAUAAUAUGACUAGUCAAACUAGGAGUCAUCAAAUAACUUGUUACCAGUAAUAUCUUCAUAAGUCUCCCUCUUAACUCUGCUCAUGCCACUAAUUUGAAUUGUCUCGCCUCACCUUCAGGUUUUUGGAUCAGUUCAAAUUACCCUAAAUAGUAUUUUCUGUUAUAUCCUCAAUCAUAACUAUACCCAUUUUAUCUCAUAAAUGUGAAUAUCUUUUAUUCUAUCUUCUUUAAAUCCCCACGCGUUAUCUAGGUACUCAUAAUUUUUUUCUUCUAAUCUAAGAGUUGCAUGGCAACUACAAAACACUGCAGAUGAACCACUACAUUUAAAUCUAUAAGCAAAUAAAUCAUGUUAUUGUGAUUUAAAAUUCUGCAUUAUAAAUGCUUUGUCAGAGCUGUAUUGCCUAAGUUUUUCUGUAGCUCAAUUUACCUGCUUUUGCCAUUUUUCUGAUUCAUUCUGCUAAAAACUUAGCUAAGAAACAAAGAUCAAAUAUAGAAAUUGAGGAAAGAUAUUUAGACACCCAUAGUCCAGAACAUGGUAAAACUUGAAUCUUAGGCAUCAACUUCUCUGUGAACUUUAUGAACCUUCUUCCAAAUGUUAUUUAUUAGUAUAAAACAUAUGAAUUUUUUUUAAAUCCCAACUCUUAAGUCUCAAAGUCCAUGACAGAUUAAAACCCAUUCUUUUUGAAUUGCUUAUUGCAUCUUAUGCCUUUUUUCUGGUUUACUAAAAGUUCAUAGCUUGUAAUGAAAAAAUAGGAGAUUUUUUAUAACAUGGGUCAGAAACACUCUACCUGUUAUCUUUGUGGCUUUUAGUUGCUCAGCAACUUUAUUUGCAUCAGUUUCAGCCUUCACAAUUCUCUCAGCUUGACUACCAGCAAAUCUCACCCUGAAGGAUUCCACGUCUUCAUCUUUCUGCUCGGAAGAGCAUUCAAUAAAUAUCCAAGCGAGUGAAAUGCAAUUGACAAAAUCAUGCACAAAGUUAAUAUGUAUAAAAAUGAGCUAUCAAGCGAUAAACAAACUAAUGCACACCAGUUCCUUAAACAGUGGUUCAGGUUUCCCUAUAUGGUGACCAGAUGGCAGAAAAUCCCAAGGUCUCUUUGCUUUGUCAGUUUCUCCAUUUUCAUCACAAAAGGAGAGAUUGGCUUCCAGAGGUAAAUUGAGCUGCCUUAGCACCUAGCACACCAAAGAAACAUUAUCCAGAUCUCAUUAGAGAACCCUAAAACCAAAGAUUAAGCAGCAGAAGGUGCUUAUCAAACAUAAACAAGCAAAGGGAAUAAAGAGAAAGUAAAAUUUACUUCAACAGAAAAUGAAGGCAUGAAUGGUUCCAACAAACAUGCAAGAAGGUAGACAAGCCCAGCUGAGGUCUUCAUCACAAUGGCACAAGAAGAUGGAUCUUCUUUGAACAGCUUCCAGAAUUGGCUUUCCUAUAUCACAUACCCAAAAAAAAGGUAAUAGAACUAGCAUACAAGUACUCACAAUUGACAAAGAAAAUUCAAUGGAACCUACUUGGAGAUAUGCAUUUCCUUCACUGGAUAUGCUCAUUGCAAUCUUUAGACCUUGUUUUAGUUUAACCUGCAAAAGACAGCAAAUUAUUUUCUCCAGUAAUUAAUAUAUCACACAAACUAAUCACCGAAUUGAGGUGUGUGUGCGUGUGGAGGCUUUUGUAUCUUAGUCAAAAUCAAACUUCACAUAAUCACCUUUUCCAUAGCAUCCAGAUAUUGGUCAACCAAUUUACCAACUUUUUCUCCUAAAUAUUUUGUUAGCUGCUGAGAUUGUGGAUUUGAAGCAUCAGGAAUGAUUGACCCAUAUCCUGCUCCUGCAAUAAAUAACAAAUGGCAUUUACUGAUAAAUCAUUGUAUCAUGAAACACCAUCGGUGCUUUCAAAAUGACAAAUCAAUAAAGCAAAUUAAUAACUUCAUAUUUGCACAAGAAUAGUGAGCACAUGUUAGCUGGGUAGCUUCCCACAUGAUGUUGCCAUUUAAAUAUCUCCGUCAUGAUUGAACAAGAGAAAACAUUUGGAUAGCAAAGAAACAUUUUUUUACAUGUAAAUUAGAAGAUUGGAGAAGGUAUCUCAUAAAAUUUCCACAAGACAAACAGAAUUUUAAUAAAACUAUAAGCAUAAAGGCUUAGAUAUUUUGAGCUGAUUUUGACACCUGUUAAGAACAUGUUCAUCUUGUGGUAAAAACCAAUUCUCAAUCAAUUUCAUUUGCAUACCAACAGAUUUCAUAAUAGAUUAAGCUUAUACAACCAAGGAAAGGCCCUCCCAAGAUUGCAAGUAGUUGGUAAUAGUCAAAAGAUUAGAUAGAGAAGUCAAUGACUGAAACUGUCACAUCAAGUGAAAUGAUGAUAUUAUUAGGCAUAAACCCUAGAAGGGCAGGAAACUUCUCUUUGCUUCAACCAAGUCAUCUCAAAUCUAAAAUCUAGUACCCCAUAGAUAAAAAAGAACACCACCUAAAAAAUAAAACCUCAACUGUUUAAUGCUUUGCCUGCCUUAGAAGCCAUGUAAUGCCAGAGACCAUCGCUCAUAGCCUUGGCAUGCUGAACACACCACAAAUCCAAUAGUUCAAGGCACGGUACAAGACAAAUUGAAGCUAAGGACUUUAGUUAAGUUUCCAUAAUAGUUUAAAGAUGGUCCUAUAUGAUUUAUUAUUUACUGGAUAACGCAAGACAAAUUGCAUUUCCAAAAGCCAUAAAAUGGUUCACAAUUUAACAAAAAAAGCUACACUAGCUAUUGCAAUUUUACUUUAAAAUUAAAAACUUCAAAAAGAGGAGUCUUCAAUUUGGUAGCAUAGUGAAUGCAAAAGCAUUAAAUUCAGACUAUAUACAAAAUAAAGUCAAACUGGUUCAUAAUGCUUAGGGGACUGCAAGUAUAUUAGUUUGCAUGAUUUCAAUAACCAACCUUCUGGCUUUGCAAUAAAGCUUAGAACACGAUUGAUGAAAUUCCCUAAGUUGUUCAGCAACUCAGUAUUCAGCUUAGCCUGCAAGUCUGCCCAUGUAAACAAUGUGUCCGAUACCUGAUUCACAAAAACCAAUCAGGAUACUACAUAUGGCAACAAGUACUGGAUCUAAUUGGCAAAAUUUUAUGGGCAUUUAGAAUCAAAACUACGGUUUAUCUUAGGACUCACCUCAGGCCUAUUCGUCAACAAAUAGUAUCUCCAUACUUCAGUAGGAAUCUUUGUAUCCUUGGCAUCAUUACCAAAAACUCCAAUUCCCUUACUUUUAGAAAACUUUCCUGCAACACCACAAACAGGUAAAUAAACCAGAAUAUUCUAUGUACCAAGAGCAUAAAACUGUCUUACAGUAAAUUACAACCACAUAACUUUAUAAGGUUACCAAAAACAUUUCAACAAUACUGCACGUUGCUAUGAUUAAAGAGUUCAGAUGGAAUCUAUUUCAAACUCAAUUUUAAUAGUACAAAGAGAAAACUAAAAUGUUAUUAGGAUGGAUGGACAUGAAUUCCUGUAAUAGAAGUUAGGUUCCUUGGAUCAAUCAAUCAACAUGGCAGAGGGAUUGAGGAUACUAUGCAUAGAACAAAAGUUGGGUGGUUAAAUUGGAGAGGAGUGUGAUCACUGAGUGCUUUUAUAGAAGAAGAAAAUUUUCAUAAGAGAUGAGGGAGACCUAAGAAUGAUAAUUAUAAAAAAGAUAAUUAAAAUGCUUUACAUUUAACUAGAGAUAUUGCCUCGCACAAAGUUCAAUAGCAGCAAAAAAUCCAUAUAACUCCUCCAAUUAUUUGGGAUUAUUAUGAAUUAUUGUUGUUGAUCACGAAAGCAGAACCAACAUAGUUAUAAUAAUUGAUGGAUUCAUUUCAAUUGAAUUUACCUGAAAUCAAAACUGAAUAUGGUUAUGAAUCUAGCUUGAAUGCAGCUAAUUGGUCAUCAUCAUAAUUCUUCCUAGCAUAAAGGUUCACCAGGUUGUAAGGGUGAUAGUAUUCACUAGUAACAAACUCAUGAAAUUUUGCAGUGAAUCUCGAGAAAUCUAGAAAUGGCGGCUCUUUGGCUGUACAUUUGGUAUUCAAGUAGUUCAGCUAAUCCAGCACCCGCAUAGAAAAUGACUCUUACCAUGUGGUUAUGCUAAUCCAAGUAUUUUGAUGUCAUUACUUGAAACCAUGAACCCCAACAAAAAUGCCGCACAUCUUAUAUCAAUUUUAAGUUGAUGGCAGAAUAUAUAUGACAUUGUGAUACAAAAACCUACUUAGUUAGUUAGUUAUCAACCAAUCAUCUACUACUUGACAUUGUGAUGCAAAAACCUACAACAUUAUCAACCAAUCAUCUACUACCACUGAAUGCCCCUUUGUUAAUCGACUCCAACAAUUUCAGUCUUGGCCUUAGAUGUAGCCUCGAAUCCAGAGAGUUCAAUGUUGAUGACAAAAGGCAGUAGUUCUGUAGUUGUACUUACGUGUAUCUGAGAGUAAUAUGUCGUUGGUGAGAAGAGACAGAAUAUUUAUUAGCUUGUGAUAAAAGAACCUAGUUCCUUAUCAAACUGUUUCUUUAACUACUACUGCUACUAAUUUUCCUUUUGUUAAUUGACUCCAACUACUCCUGCAUUGGCCAUUUUGGGAUGUAGCCUUUAAUCUAGAGAGUUUGUUAGUGAGGUGCAAUCUCUGUGAUGUCAGAAGAAAAUCUAGCAGCAGUGCCCCAUUUGAAACUGUGUAGCUGAGAGUAACAUGUGGUUGGUGAGAAGAUAGAAGAAAUAUAGAAAAGACAUGUAUAAGGAUAUUUGUAGGUUAAUAGACAUCUAAAAAUUCCCGAUUAUUUAUGAUUGUUGAAAGACAAUUCUGUAAUUUUUUUUUCCUCCCUAUAAAUAUACAUGUAUAUAUCAUGCAAACAAAGGUGCCCACUCAAGAUUGCCAAUAGGCACCAGAUGCUCCAACCAGGGUUUUUAAUAUCGUUCCAUACUGCCGGAUAUGGGUGGUAUGUACUGGUCCGCCAGCUGACCGGCACGCGGACCCCCGCUACCGGGCGGUAUUAGCUUGGCUGCAAUGAGGCGGGACGAGGAAGAAGAGGGCAUUCAAAGAAAAGGGAGAAGCAUCGAAGAAGAGGGAGAAGCAUUGAGAAAGAGUAUCGUGGAGUCACUGAUGCCCUUUCUCGAUUCUAAUCUGACGCCGCCCUCCCUCGACAAUCCCGAUCUAGGAGGUAACAACGAGGAGAAUCGUACCUUUUUGGGGGGGGGAGUUGGAGGCGCGGGGAUCAGGGGAAGCGAUGGUGAGAGUAGCGAAAGAGGCAACGAAGACCCCGGCCUUCUUCAUCUCCGAACGUCUCCUUUGUCCACUGUUGCUGCACGAAGAACCUUCCGAUGUCGAUGUCAUCUUUCUUCUCCCCACCUCCUUGACGUCGAAGGCCGUAGACGAGACAAUCGCUCAGUAUGUCGUAUCUAUAUCUUUUUAUAUCUUUAUCUAUUAUUUUUUAUUUUUAUAUUUUUUAUAUAAAAAGAUAAAUACUUUUUUUAAUAGUGAUCCUGUACGCCUAACUUUACAUUCAAGCACUGUCUACGCAUGGCUUAGAUAGUUUGUCUUCAUCAAUACACAUAGAAUAGGAAUAGGGUGGAAUAAUGCCACCGAAUAUAGUACUGCUCGGUAUAACAUACUGUAUCAUACCGAGCAAAGCUUGAAAUACCGAUACAGUAUGAAAUUUCAAUCAUUGGCUCCAACCAUAAACGUAACUGUUUGGGGUUUACUUUUUCUUCAUAGAUCAUCCCAUGACCAAGUUCUAAAGAGUUACAGAUAAAUCCAAGCAUUGUUAUUUUAAAUAUACUUUGCCCAAAAGAUGCAUAUAAAAUAAACCAAAUAUACAGAAAGAACAAUCAUAAAAAGAACCUGUUCAACAAUCUAAAUACAUAACUAUGAAUAGGCAGUCAAUAGUACCUGAUUCAUAAUUUAAAUAUUCUGUGACACUUAUCGUCUUCAUCAUGGUCCACCUUUCGCCAGUUCCAAGUAGAGUAGAAGGAAACAUUACCUAGAACACAACAGCAUAUUAAUAUCUAAAGAAAUACUUUCUGUCAAGGAGUGACUUCAGAUACAUAACAAACACAGUAAUGUAUGUACAUCCAGGUCUGAAUAAAGAGUCCAAAAAUACAGCAGCAGGCAAAAUUCACCCUGAAAUUAGUGGUUCAACACUUAAGGUGUUAGAAUUUAUGAGUGGUUAACCAUAUAAGUAUAAGUAUGUACUGAACUAUUUCGUAAUGUGACAGACCCUUUGAAUAAGUUUUUGGACUUUAAAAUAACCCAAACACACAGGGAGGUAAUAGGGCUUAUAACUGGCUCGUUGUUAGCAUGAUGUGAAGUUGGCAUUUUAUAUAUCUCCUCCAUGCUGAUAUAUACGCAAAGAUGAACUAUUCCUUAAAAUUCUAAGAACAUAUCAUGGGAUUUCAUGGUGUUACAAAAACCAUGAUGCUACUAUCAGUACACUUGGUGUCUUAUUCCUCUGAUAUUGUCAGUAUUCACUCAACUAGACAUCAUUAUACAUGAAAUGCCUCAUGAACUUACUUGUAAUAUUCACAUUUUAACACUGAUGAAACAAAAAUUAGCUUGUUGAAAGCUUAUCUAUGUGUGCUCAUUUCCCAACUAUAUUAGACACUAGAAUAAACUCAGAUUUACGUUGCCCAUAUGCCCCAUACUAAUGCAAACUUGCCACGUAUGUGAAAAAGAAAAUUGUCACAGAAACCCUACAGUUGGUGACCAAGUAUAAUGAAUCCAUGGGUUGAUAAAAAAAAAAUAUCUCUUGCAACUUAAGUAGCAUACUCAAAAUCCCAAAUUCACCAUGCUAAAGUGAUUACAUUUUAGAUCGCAAGCACUUGAAGAAUAGACUUCAGAUUGUGUCAAAUUUUGUCACAAUACAAAUACAAUGGUAUACAUAAGAUAGAUUGUGUCUUUGAAUGCUAAUGUACGAAUGAAGAGCAGAAUUUUACUGUGUGAAAUGGCACGUUAUCCUUGCCCAUAAAUUGAUACAACUCCACAUUAUCAGGAUUCUUCCACCAUUGCUCCCACUCGGAAGUGUAGCAUGCAGUGAUAGAAAUAUAUCCAAUAGGGGCAUCAAACCACACAUAAAACACCUACACAGAUAUAUACCAAGGGUCAAUUGUUAGGGUUGAUACCACUAUGACAUUAUCUCUUAGAUCUCUUAAGAGCAUAAAACUGAAAAGUGCAUGAAGCAUCAAUCAGUUUCCAUUAUAGAUGUCAAUCUAAAUGCUUUUAAAUUGCAAGGAUUUCUUGUACCUUAUCUUUAUACUUCUCAUGUGGCACUGGAACUCCCCAUUUAAGAUCCCUUGUAAUACAACGAGGUCUCAGACCUUCUUUCAGCCAUGCAUUUGUCGCUUGAAUAGCAUUUUGGCUCCAAGAUCCAGCCACUGACAUGGUGUUAAUGUAUUCUUCCAGCUUCUCUCUCAGCAAGGGUAGCUCUAGGAACAAAUGAUCUGUAUCACGUAUGCGAGGAGCGGUACGACACACCUAAUAUGAUAAUAACUCCACUUAGGUGUAUAAACAAGCCAAAUACAUCAUUCACGGUAAGAGCAAUCUGACACAAAAUAUACUACUUACACUUGAAGGUCAAAACAAUAGGCUGAAACUUGCUAUAUCUUAGUAGACAAUUACCUUGCAUUUGGGAUCUUUCAGUUCAGUUGGAUUUAACAGUUUUCCACAUUUUUCACAUUGGUCACCACGUGCAGAAUCAUAAUUACAAUCCAAUGUAGGGCAUGUACCCUCAACAAGCCGAUCCGCCAAGAAGCGUUGGCAUGUGUCACAAUAUAGCUGCAUUUGAUUUCAAAAGGCAAUAAUUUUUGCCAAAAAUGACAAAAUAAAAUACAGGCAUAACUUGUAAAAUGCACCCGAUUAAUUCAAAUCACAGUAAUUACAAAGCUAUUAACAUACCUGCUGCAUGGUAUUUUCAGAAAGCCACUUGUUAUCCAGUAGUUUAUGGAAAAUUGCUUGGCAGACUUCGGUCUGCUGAGGAGCGGAUGUACGUCCAAAUUUGUCAAAGCUUAUAUCAAACCACUCAUAGACGUCUCUGUGAAUGGCAUGGUAUCUAGAAACAUGCAGAAAAUUAUAUUUAAAAGGUCAUAACAGUACAAGUUUAGACCAAAAGUAACAUAGAAGACUACUUUAACCACUCAUCAACCUCGUGUGGAUUGCAUGGUCUCUAGAAAUAUGAAGAGAAUACAUUUCGAAGACCAUAACAAACAAUGCAGAAUAAAUGUUGAUUGAUUCCCAUUUCUUAUCACUUGCAUCCACAAAAAAAAACAGUGUCUUUCUUCUAUGUGACAAUGGCCAUUUGUUGGAAGUUUCAAAAGAUUGCCAAGGCAAAUUACCUAAAAUGUAAUCCUUUUUCGGUUUUUCUUUCUUUGACAGAAGCACUCAUAUAUAAUUUCAGGAAUUAAAAUGAUUCAGAACUAUUUAAGGAAAAUACUCAAAUAGACUACAUACAUACAAAUAUAACUACCAUCACUAAACUAUCAGAUGCUUUACUAUUCAAUUAAGCAAUCAAAACAGAUGUAUGGAUCGCAUUUCACUCACUUGUCACAAAUCUCCUUCGGGGAGCAAUUCUCCUCCAUAGCCUUCGUCUCAGUGGCAGUCCCAUACUCAUCCGUCCCACACAUAUAUAUCGUGUUGUACCCCCGGAGUCGGCAGUAGCGAGCAAACACGUCCGCACUCAAAACGCCUUAACCAAACCAAAAAUCCGUCAACUUUCUCGAUCACACCACCAAAUACUCCCAAAAAUAACCCAAUUUUUCAACCCAACAAAAUGAAAAGACAACAACUUCAGACGAAAUUAUCAAAGAAAAAAAUAAAAAAGUAUACAUCCGAUGAUGUUGCCGAGGUGAGGGACGUUGUUGACGUAAGGCAGCGCGCUGGUUAUGAGGAUGUUGCGGCGGCCGGGGAUCGGGAGCUUGGGUGCCUUCUUAGCCGAGGAAUCUGCCAUGGAUGCCUCGAUCUAACGGAGAGAGGAAGAUGGAUCAAAGAGUAACGUCAAGCCGUUCUCUCCCGGUGCUUCUUGGAUCGAUUCGUGCGCAUCGAGUGGGCGAAUGGAGUCGUCGUUUUAUUGGUUCGGAAAACCCUAGGAAGAGUUGGGAGCUCGUCGCCGGGCCGUGCGGGUUUAAUGGGCCUUCCGAAACGGAGUUGUAGGCGUAACAAUUCCGCCGACGUGUCGUGAUCAAGGCCGUCAAAUUAUCCCUUGCACUCCUCGGUUUUUUUGCCCCUCAAAAACGUUUCUCUCUCACCACCAUAUCAAAGGGUGAGAUGAUCAAUUUUGAUCAUAUAUAUAUAUAUAUAUAUAUAUAUAUAUAUAUCUUCAUAUUAGAAAAUAUUCAUAUUUUUUAUCUUAUUUUACUUCACUUCGAAUGGAGUCGACCUUCCCAUGAUUAAAUUUUAGUUUGCUAUAGGCAAAAAAAAAAAAUGUUCCUCUUACAUGUCAUGCUAUGCUCAAUAGACGCAUCAUCAUGUGUCGAGUUACGAUUGAUCGAAAAUAAUAAUUAUAUCGUUAUUAUGUAUUAAGUCUUAUACAUACUAGAGCACAGUGCCUUAGUCCAAGAUGGAUUCAUUGGGUAUAUAUACAUUGUAUGUUUUAAUUCAUAUGUACGAUAUGAAAUCCUUAUGUAAGGGGAUAUAUUUUAUCUAGUAAGAUCAUAUUAGAUGCCUUAUGUUUUUGUCCUGAGAGCAUGCAUUGUGCCAAAGGGGAUGACUUGGCUUCAUCGAAAUGCUUUGGGUUACACACUUGCACAUGCUCUUUUAUCUCGAGCAAAUGCAUCACAGAUCAAAGAGAGACACACACUUUAAAUAAUAUUGUUAGAUGUUUAUUUGUCUUUGGUGGAUGCAUUAUGUGCAAUAGAGAAGCUUUUGGAUCGCAUUAGAUAUUUUAGAUGGUUUUUUAUAUCCUAUCGUAACAAUAUAAUAUAAAUAUAAAUAUAAAUGACACUAUAUCAAUAUUAAACCACAUACUAUACCAUCAUCCAUGUUAAAAAAAGUGAUGCAGUGGGAACUUCAAAAGAGUUAAAACAAUAUGAUUUAGCGUUCAGCCAAGUUUUCAUUUUCCAUGGAGCUUGAAACAGAUCAAGCAUUAAGCAAUAAAGUGAAGAAAAAUGAUGCAGAAAAAGAAAAGACUAUGAAAGGAGAGACAAACAUCAUCCUAUCACCACAAGCUUUCUGGUUCCCCCCUGGUUAUGUGAUUUAAGAUGAUGAUUUGAAGAGUACACAGAAUAAUUUGUUGAUGUGGAAGAAAUCACAUUCUCCCUUCUAAUAUCAUGGAUCUUGUGUUCAUUCUCAAUCUAUUAUUGGGCCAGAACAAAAUAUUCUCAGAGAAUCUGUCUCAUCAUUUAUUAGAUCUUGAUAGAAAAAUUUACAAGGCUUCCAUGCAUUCAAAUUGGAUUUAUCAGUCAAGAUCAGAACAUUCCGAGGACACAACAACUAGAAAUUCCCACUGCGCUUGCCCUUGUUUUUGCCGUACAAGCGGAAGAGGUUGAAGGCAGACAUGGAGGAAACAGCCACCAUGCAGAGGCUACCUAGGAAGGCACUCACCAUGCCCCCCCCACUUUGGUUGCAGAAUUUAUGGUAGAGGUUGCAUACCUUCAUCCACUGGAGCUCUGUCUGGCCGAACUGGCUGAGCUCUGCAGCUUGUGCUGCCGCCGACACCGCUGCCAAUGUGAGAUACGCCACGACCUGAAGCGACACCAUGCAUGAAAAUAGUGAUUACAGUCUUAUAUAUUUUCUUAUCACUAUCAUUUUAUCUAAAAGCCUAAACCUUUGAUGAGACAAUUUAUUUUAUAACACUCCUGCCUUACAUGUACUUGGGUAGAUCGGCACAAACCUUACAUCCAAAAUUUGAACUGAUCGAAUAUAUAUAUUCAAUGCAUGAUCUGGAGUAGUUUUGGACAUCGCUAUCAUGUCAUCAUGAACUUUUUUUGACAUCAUAGCUUUUUAUCACUGUCAUUCUUAGCUUACAAGAUCAUAUUUUUACUUGUUUUUAGGUUUGACUAGAGAAAAUUUACAAGUAUCAGUUUUUGUAAUACUGAUACUUAUUUUUAAUAUGUGAUAGAUUGCUAAGACCAAUCUGAAAUAUAAAUUUGUAGUGCCCACAUAGCCUGCCAGACUCUGCAGAUAAAUCAUGAACUUGAGGCCAAGUUUAGGGCCUCAGAUGAAUCUCUGGCCUAUGCACAAAAUCUGCUGUGAAGAGCACAUGAAGCAGAGGUGACUUUUCUCUAGCUAAACAACUAUUAGAUGCAAUGGCAAAUGCCCUUUUUCUGUCUACAAAGUUUAAUUUUGUAAAUCAAUUGUCAACAAUGCAGAACUUUGUCUAGUACUUCACAAGCCAGACAAAACAUCAACACCAGUUGCUGAUCAUUCAGCAACUUUGGCCACAGAAGUCACUACCACCAGAACUAAAAGGUCAGUUGAUAAGGUAGAGAUUCUCAUUCAAUGCAACAUAGUUUAAGUUAAUGCUGCAAUGGUGACAUGGGUUAAUCAGCUACCUGAUCACAAGAGAAGAUAGCCCAAGCCAAGGCCUUGUUGAAGAGGACACUCCCCUUCAUCAUGCUCACCACACUCCUCACCACCAUUAGCAGACUAUAGCCUGCAGCUAUCCCAUUUGCUACCACUAGGAACCUGUCAAUCCAACCAAAACCAUAUAUGGACUCAGAAAUCUGAGAUUUAUGCUAUAACAGUGUAAAAAUAUAUAUAUAUAGACUUCACAAAUACCACCAUUUGAAUCUUCUGUGUUAUGAAGAAUUAGAAACAAAAAAGAGAGGGGUUUCUUCAUAGAUCUACACAGAAAUGAACUUGUAAUAACCACAGAAGAAAUAGGAAGGAUGAAGAGAAGGUCUUACACCAGAGCUUUCAUGUCAGUGAACUUGGCCUUCUUUUCCACAGAGAAGAACUCCCUAACCUGAGUGUCAGAUCCUACUAGAACAGCAGCAAUCACCCCAAACGCACAUGAGAGACACCUGAGCACAACCUCAGCCACCUUCAUCCUCCUCUCCACAGCCAUCAGCUUCCCACCUCCAUAGUACACUGGCACGGUCCCAGGGCUCACCCCAACCUCCGGCCUCAUCUCCUCCCUCUAAAAUCCUUGACAACACACAAGGCAGUGAAGCUUUACGAAGAACAGUCACUUCCCUUUUUUAUGGCCAGAGAUUCCCAAUCCCGCGCCUCGACAAAGAAGGCAGGGGGGUCAAUCUGAUUGAUACAAGACUCGGGAACUUGAAGACGGAGCUGCCCGAUGCCCCAUUCAAGAGGGCAUGGUGAGUGCAUUAUGAGGUCCUCAUCUGCAGCACAAGGAACAAGGACUGAUGCAUGAACAGUACCUCAGACCAUUGACAUGUGGCAUGGUAAUGACUCUGUCUUUUUGAUGUGGAAACAGUGUGGAAGAUUGGAGUCAGUGGAAUCUUUGAUUACAGCCAACGAAUAGAUCUUUAGCCAAGUUUGGACUGUUUUGGUUAUAGUCAAUCCAUGGUUGGUGGUGUGUCUUUACUAUAUAUAUAUAUAUAUAUAUAGUCUCACAUCUUGAGAACAUGUUUUGGUAUAAAAAUUAGACUAACUUUUUUUCUUAAACUCCACAGAUCUCACUCAAACUUCAUCUUUUCUUCAUUUAGAAUUGUGCAUUUAGAAAAUUACAUGAGGAUUUUGUACUGGGAAACUAAAAAUGCAUAUAUUUUCUAUUGUUAAGAUUGACAAGAUACUUAUGUUCUUAUUAAUUAUGUGUAUUGAUUUGUUUAUUAGUAGUUGAAAGGCCAUAUAUAUAUAUAUACCAUAUCACUAUUUGUUCUUUGAUUGUAGUAGGGACAUUGACACCAAUGUAAAGGACAAUUUUGCCCAAAAGGUAAAUAUAUGUAAAUUACUAAAAAGCUAAUCAAUGCAAGCUCAACAUUUAACCUUCAAUCUAGUCCAUGAGUGUUGGAUGUUGAGGUGAUUUGGAGGAUAAUAAAGUUAAUACUAAAUGAAAAUUAUUUUAAGAGACAUGUGCAUAAACGAUGUUCAAAACUAGGAUGAUAUUUGUGAUAGCUAAAUUGCAAAUGUUAUAAGGUAAUAAAUUCAUUUGUAAUAUUGGAGACAGUAAAUAUAGGAUUUGCUUUUGUAAUUUUUGCAAUUUAAUGGAAAUUUUUGACAAGAUGAAAUGUUUUUGCUUGUACAGUACAAUUGAGAGAAGAUACUAUGUAAUAGUCUCCAUUUACAUGGUGUCUGCCAAUGAAAGAUGGCUUAUAUGUGUUGUCUUUUUGUUCUAUGUGAUCAAAAUGAAAAAGAAAAAUCAAAGCUAAAUUGAGGAUGGAAUUUAUUAAAUCUAUUCAAGUACACAGUUCAUAGAGGGAUUGUGGCAAACCAAAUAUAUCAUUUACAUUUUAUAUUUCAGAUAGAUAAGAGAUGUUGACAAGGGAUCAGAUUUGAGGGAAUAUUUUGGCCUUGUGUGGAGAUCUUUCCUUCUUGCGAAUCCAUCAAAUCAAGAACUUGUCAUUCUUUUGACAAAUAUCUUUUGACUGUCACUCAUAAGCAGAAGCAUUGAGUGUAAUCAUCUUUUUUUGUUCUAGUGGGAGUCACUGAAAGCUGAAGCAAGCUCCAAAUUUUGACAAUGGAAAUCAAAGACUGGAAAAAGGCUUUGUGUUAUGAUGAUGGGAGCCUGUUGGCAAUUGGAAGCAUUAAGUUGCUGGGCCAGUGACAAUCAUGGAAUAUGGUUGUGUUGGGAUCCCAAAUCUGGGAGAACUAAAUUUUGGAAUAUGUGAUAGAAGGUUCUUGCCAUCUCUUUAUUAAGAUAUACUAAAAUUUAGGACAAAGUUCGGUGCAUUGGGAUUGCAUUGAAUGCUAGUUUGAAUAUUCUCUGUUGUCAGCAUAGAGGAUGUCCUUUUCAUCCAUUAUCAUCAUCCACUAGUUUAGUGGGGAUAGGCAUGAUCAGAAAAGAACAAGAAGAAAAGGAAUUGCUGGAUAGAUCACCACAUUUAUCAAUGGAUUUUGUAUGACCUGAUCCAAUCUCAAAUCUCCUGAUCCCUUGAUCCAAUCAAUAGAUUGAUCCAGUCUAAUUGUCUAGUUGAAAACCAGUUGGGGCAUAAAUUGACCUGAUUACUUUCUGUUUAUUAUCACAUAAUGCAAGUAACAUUGGAUAAGUGUUUGGCAACCAGUUAAUUUACAGUGAACUCGAAUUGCAACAGUGCCUGCUCAUGGCUGGAGAUCAAAGGUGGAGUUGAGCUCUCAUGUCAUACUGAUACUGCCCAGCAAUGUAAUUAACCAUGGUAGUAAGAGGAAGUGAAGCAUAAGUUGACAUGGAAGUGGUGGAAAGAGAACCUUAAAAGGCUUGCAUUUUAUUAAUGGAGAUUCAUGAAACAUAAACCAAAUAAUUUGCUCAUGCCUUUGUUGGCAUGACACUGUUAUGGCUUUUCUAGUUUAAGGUUGAAACAGGUAAAGACAACCUUUGAAGCAAAACUAUCAAUUAAUAUGCACACCAUUGAGUCUCAAACAAUCUCAUAAUAAAGGAAGUCCCCCUGUUAAUUUAGCAUUAGAUUAAAAAAAAUCCAUAUUUCUGUAGUUCAGUGUGCAACAAAUUUAACUCACAAGCCAAAAUUGAUCCUCAUUCACCUAGGAUGAAAAAGAAAAGGACUUUUUUUUGGACUUUAUCUGCACUUUUGCAGCUCAAUUUGUCAAAGUUGGAUCCUCAAUAGGUCAGCUUUAAGAUGCCACUUUUUACCUUAUUUCCUUCUUGGAUGCUCAAAGCCCUUGAAGCUAAGAGCAGAUUCAACAGCAGAAAUAAAUGAUACACAAAGAAUUGGAGUCUUCAUGAGUGAAUAAUGUGAAUGAUCUCAGAUAAAAUAAAAAAUAUUAGACAAGCAAACAAAAAAUCUAAAGAAAAGAAGUGAUUCCAAAUCUGCAGCUCAAAACUAUUAGCAGAUACCUAACAGCAAUAGGAUGCACUACCAAAGGCUAAAUACCACACCAUCAAAUUAUCCAGAAAACAACAAACUGUAAUAUUGGUGCUUCCCCUGAUGAGCCUACAAAAGAAAUGUCAAGCACAUUCUGAAAGACUGAAAACCACUUCAAUACAAAGACCUGAGUAAAGACAAUUAAUUAUAAGCAUCAAAUCAUAUAAAGAUGAAGAUUGGUUCAAAAGACCAACUGGAACUACAUCAAGCAACAUCCAGAUGAUAAUAUCAACACUCCUUGGUUGUGGACUACUAAUCCUUGGCUGUAAAUUACUACAUAAAAUAGAACCAGGAAUCUCUAUGGGCAGUCAGCAGCAGCUCAUUUUUACUUUUACCCUGCUGCAUUUGAUCGAAUGCUAUGCACAUUCUUCAAUAAAUCCUGGAUUUUUACUUUUCCACUGCUGAUCUCCUGAAGCUCUAUCUUUUCAAGCAGAUAUUGCUUCUCAGUUUCUGCUUCUUCAAGACAAUGCUUCAGGUUACAUACUGGCAUAGUGCUGCUCAGCAUUCUCUGAUUUAGCAAGUGCAAUUCCCUGUAGCCUCACAGUCUCCUGUUUGACCUCGCUGGCCUGAAGCUGGAACAUCUUAGCCUCUGUUUCAUCUUCAGUCCAGUGGUUUCAUUGUCCCCUUGCUUUUCCUUCUCUACUUUGUUUCCCGUGACGGCAACUGGGCGGUUUGUCUCGAUGGGCCAGGCCUCAUGCGAGCUGGCAUUCUCAGUGGGGGAGCUUCGCCAUUAGAAUAUUAUCGUGGUUCUUGGGAUGCGGGUGAGUCUGCAUGGUCGGACGAAGCGAGGGACCGACCUCGGAGGCUGGCGUGGGAGGAAGCAUUGCCGGUGGGGCUUGCUGGUGAUGGUUUGCACCAGAAGAGGUGCCCAAAUCAAUUGCUAGUAUGCUGUUAAACCUUCACCUGCAACAUAUGCAUCACCAAAACUGCCUUACCUGAGGGUUUGAAUCCAACUGAUGCAACUAGCAAAAGAAGUACGCAUCAAAAACUAAUACGUUUCAAGAUCCUUAAUUUCGCCAAUAAAUGCCGCCAAAAUCCAAUCUUUUUAUUUCUAGGGAGGGUCAGAAGAUUAAAAAGUGCACGUUUCUGGAUUCUAGAACCCUAAUCUAAAGUAGAAACAGCAAGCGAUUCAGAAGUGCGAAAACGAAUUAGGCGAUUCGCAUUAGAAUCCACACGUCCAACAUGAUUUCAACUAACUAACAAAAAGAAAAGGGCCGGAAAUCGGAGGAUCCAAAGGGGGACGAAUACGAACGAACAGCAAGCUUGCAUUACCUGGAGCUUGAAUCUCCCAAAGGGCGGACCGCGGGAAGCAUCGUGACCGAAGCGAUCGCAGUAACACCGAGAGAAGAAAGAGAUUAGGUCUCUCUCUCGCGUUUUCUCGUGCGCCGGAAGUCCUCCCUCCCGAAAAAGACAACGAUGACACAUACAAGUCACGACUAAACUUAAAUCAAAUUACGUGGCGCAUAUCGAGAAGCGUACUCGCCCUGCACCACCUCAGCCCGCCGUCAGAUAUCCAUCACAUUCCGUAUCCGUGACUCAACUCGUGUCGUGAUAUUACUGCUCGCGUUUCAACGCGUCAAACGUGAUGACAGCGAGAUGAUAAUAGACGGGCAACCACGGGGCCCCAUCCAAUGGAGAUCUGCCACGUCAUUGAACACUUUUGUAGCCUGUUUUACUGAAGACAGACUAUCCUCAUCCAACGCAAAAUAACAAAUAAUAUCACCCCGAUAAUUUUCAAGGACGAUUCGACCCAGCUGGACAAACAGAUGUGCAGCUACAAAGCUGAGAUUUACCCCUCCAAUUUUCAUUAUUAUCAUUGCAGCAUUUCAUUAUUUUCAUUAUAUAUAUAUAUAUAUAACAAUAAUAAUAAUUACAAAUAGAAAUUUGACGAUGAUAAAAAGAUUAUGGUCUCAUUCACAGCUAGACAUGAAAUUGAUGGGAUCAUCAUUUGGAGCUUCUUAUUUAACUUUUUUUAGUGGGUAUCAAAAGGGCAUUUCUCUUUUAUUUGGCAAUAAGAAAUAUUUUUUAACCUAUUUUGUUGAUCAUAUCUUUGAAUACUAACACUUCUUCCACCAAUAAAGGAAGACAUAUAAUAUAAAGUCCCAUGUCAUGAGAAGAAUGUUAUUUUCAUGAAGGUUAGACAUUAUUAUUUUUAUGAUCCCAUAUGGGUUGUAACAUUUUUGCAGAAUAUAAAUAAAUUCUAAAUGAUUGUAUAUAUAUUUAAAAAUAUAUAUAUAUAUGAAGAUAUUAGAAAGUCAAAUUUAAAAUUAUACUAUUGUUGAAAGUUGUAACAAUGUGGUUGUGUCAUGUUCUUCUUUCCUUUAUGGCAAAAAAAAAAAUUGUACUUGUUGUUUGAAGUCCUUUUUUUGGGGGGGAAAUUAAUCAUAUUUAUGCAUAAGAGAGAUUUAUGUGAUUUUGCUUCUUCUCAUCUUUUUUCUUCAGAUAUUCCAUUGUUGAUAGGCAUGAUGCUUCCAGACAAGAGAACAAGCUCCAUCCAUCCACCAACAAGAAGACAAGAAAUUGUGUGGAAUAAGUUGUUGAUUUUGAUUAGACAUAUAGAAAAACCACACAUGGACAAGAUUAGGUUUUCAUUGUCACUUUGGACAAGAGAAGACAAGUCAUUAUACAUAUCAUGAGAAGUGGCUGUUGCUUGGAGUGGAAGCAAGUCAAGAAACAUGCAAAAAGUUGACCAUUAUUAGGGGUGCAAAAUGGAUCAGAUACAGAUAGAACAUUGGACAAGGAAACAACUUAUAGAAAACUCAAUUUUUGACACAUUUAUCUUUCUCUUUGAUCCAAUCAAACAUUCAAGCUGUUCCAAUUGUUUUUUGUGAUAUUCAAUGAUUGAUUUAGUUUUAUGACCAUUGCAGUACUUAUGGCUUUUUUUCCUCCAAAGCAGUUAUAAAAUAAUGUCUACAUAUCAAGAUUUGGAACAUUGACUAUGGAUCAUUUUGUUUGACAUUUCAUUGCUACAAGUACCCCCAAAAAACAAAGUGUUGUCUAGUCCCUUUAUAUAUGUGGUGAAAAAUAUUACAUUUUCUAAAAAUUUACUUACAUUGAUUGUAUAUUUAUUUUUGUUGAUGAAAUUUAUGAGUCUUGCAUAUUACACUGAUUGCAUAUGGUACAUAAUUUGGACUAUGCAUCAUUGCCUGUCCAAUCCUAACACUAUAAAUGGUAAGGAAAAUAUUACUGUUGUUGUAGCAACCCCAAGUACAUGUCAAUAAUCCCCAUGCAGCUCCAAGGUUGAGAUAGAACAUGGCUUCAACACCCCACAUGCAAGAAGAGCAUGUGAAAGCAGUCAGUAGCCUCUGAUGAAGCUGCAUGCUUCUUCCACUGUGAUCUGUUCAUGCACAGUGGCAGAGACCAUAGAGGACAUUUUACAUGAUUGAAUGCCACAGGACAUGGCUUGUAACUUUGUGUUCUUAUCAGACACAAACCCCCAAAGCUAAACAGGAGGCUGCAUGGAGGCUUGCUGUUC
rnacentral:lncRNA from 1 species